rnacentral:rRNA from 1 species
GUGUCAGCCGCCGCGGUAAUACGGGGAUGGCGAGCGUUACUCGGAUUUACUGGGUGUAAAGGACAGGCAGGCGGCUUUGCAAGUUGAAGGUUAAAUCCUCUGACUCAAUCAGAGACAUGCCUUCAAAACUACAUUGCUUGAGGAUUUGAGAGGAGAGCGGAAUUCCCGGUGUAAGGGUGAAAUCUGUAGAUAUCGGGAGGAACACCUGUGGCGAAAGCGGCUCUCUGGCAAAUCCCUGACGCUGAACUGUGAAAGCUAGGGGAGCAAACAGGAUUAGAUACCCGGGUAGUCC